rnacentral:rRNA from 1 species
UACAGAGGGUGCGAGCGUUAAUCGGAAUUACUGGGCGUAAAGCGCACGUAGGCGGCUUGGUAUGUCGGGUGUGAAAUCCCCGGGCUCAACCUGGGAACUGCAUCCGAAACUGCCUUGCUAGAGUAUGGGAGAGGGAAGUGGAAUUUCCGGUGUAGCGGUGAAAUGCGUAGAUAUCGGGAGGAACACCUGUGGCGAAAGCGGCGCACUGGACCACAACUGACGCUGAGGCGCGAAAGCUAGGGGAGCAAACAGG